rnacentral:lncRNA from 1 species
UUGCAAAAUGGCGCCGACGCUGCUGCUGCUGGGAGUGGGGUGUCGACGGCCGCAGCAGUGUUGGAGGUAUCGUGUGGGGUGAGGAAUGGGAGAGGUUCCUGUGGGAGACCCAGGGUCGGACCCAUAGGAUUCCCGUGUUCAAGACCUCCUUGAUCUGUCUUCUGCUUCAAUUCCCAGUGGCGGAGUAGCUUCAGGGCGCCGGCUGGCCUCUCCGGAGUCCUCUUCGGAUCUGAUUAUGGAUCCGACCCGGUGAUCAGUAAUGGCGUUACGAUGUAGUGAGGUGGGAAAGGUCUCGCUGGGGCACAGAAAGAUCCCAUGGGCCCCAAGAUGUGGUGUCUACUGAAAUUACACCGACCAGUGAGUCCACUGGCUCCCUCUUUCUUUGGUGAAACCGUGGCCUGCUUUAAUCUUUAAGGCCCAGGGGGUCCGGAAUCCCUACACUGCUUUGCUUGACAUGUGCAGAGAGAGACAGAGGCGAGUCCGAGGGGGAGCCAGUGGGACCACAGGUGGCACUGGUAUCCCCCAAGAGCAGAUGGAGUGAGCUUGUGUCUCCGAGGCCGUAUGGAGAGAUGCUGAGACGGACAGUGGUGUCCCGGGAUGCGCCCGCGGACCACUGGAGACCUCCUGCACAAAGCUGAGGAAAAGCCUAGCACACCGGAAAACCUGCGAGACAGGGCCUGUGCCCGAGUCCAAGCCACAUUCAGGGACGCCUGCCAGAGGAGCCGAGAGGUUUCGACAAAAUACACCUCACCUUCACGCCGCCACUGGGUAGGUACCACUGAUGCUGCCUCUCCUGCACCCAGCAAAACCCUGUCCCUUUUGCUUCCUGACAUCCGUGGCAGCCAGAAGAUUCAGUGCCUCAAGGCACUUUCCCCAGGAGCAGAGGAGCCAGAUGGCCUUGAAGAAUCAGAGAGGAAAGGCAGGUGUGAUACAACACCACAUUUCCUAGAAGGUAAUAGGCCAGCCACCUUCGCCUCCUGCUCUUCCUAUACCAGUCAGGCAGCCAUCACUUGUGACAUGGAUACCAAAGGAGCUUCCUUGUCCCAGGCAGGUAUGGAAGCCCAGAGCUCCGGGCUUCCUGCCCAAUCAUCCAGAAAUAAGUUUGGAGAGGGAAACAAUCAUGAAACCCAUCCUCACGAAGUUUCUCCCUGAUGGACUGAGAAGUCUUCUUUGUUGAAGACAUUCAGCCAAAGAAGCCUCUAGGCUUCUCAGAAACAGGGCAGACAGAGCAAGAGGGAGGACAGAGCAGAGGCCAGAGCCCAGGCUCCAUACAGCACAAUGCCACCACCUUGGGCAUGUGUGGAGGAGUGCCAAACCGGUGAUUUGGCCAAGAAGACCAGUAUUCGAGUGCAGAGAUGCUUGCUACAUCUCCUACCUGGCGUUCUUUUCUUUCCUUGUUUCCAGCAGUGUCUAGAUAUCUCAAUGAGGGCAUACGGCGAGAGGAGUGAGACCCAUCUUCUUUGAGGUCGGUGGGCACCUCUCAUGCAGGUGGAUAUUGAGCUUCUGUGAGAAUUUUGUCCUUUGCUGGAGUGUGGUCGUCUUGAUACUAGCAAUGAGCCCGCUCACGAUGGGGAGCCGAUUUAAUCCCCUGCGGGUCCGACGCAACUCCCCACGUUGUCCAGGCCGUCACGAACCCAAACUGGAACCACCGGGAAAACGAAUGAUAACCGGCCAGAUGACCCAGGCAGAGACGCGGGGAGAGGCUCACCAGAAGAAAGGCCGUACAAGAAACUGCCCUUCAGCGCAUAUGCAUCCAAACACACACGCACACGAGCACACACAGACGGAAACAGGUAGAGAUUGAUAGAGAAAGGAGACAGAGAGAAACAAGAGAAAGAAAGAGACAGAACCCAGACAUACUGCAGUGGCACAGUAACAUUCAUCCCCAGGCAGCCCCUGAAGCCUCAGGGUUCUGCUUUCCGCGACAACGACCCUGGGGUGAGAGAGCAGCCCUUGGGCAUACAAGCAGACCUGUCCUCGAGAUCGCAAAGGCACGACUUUUGGGGAAACUCACUGGCACACCGUUCGCGCAGGCCUGAGCCUGGAAUCCUGCGGUGCUUCCCAGGCGCUCCUCCUGAGGUUUCUUCCUCCUGGUCGACCCUCCGCGAAUCCUGGCCUCCGGAUACCAUCCUGUCGACCCCGUGGCGAGGACUGGCCUUAGCCCGGAGUUCGACGUGCUGCCACAGAAGGCUCCUCCUUCGCGAAGCGUUCAAGGACUCAUCUCCAGGCAGCGGUGGCGGUCUCUGUGACUUGAGCAUCCGCUGAUGAUUCGCGCAUGCGCUUUGGCAAGGCUGACUGCGCUCUACUCUGGGUCAGGCUGCAGCUCCUGAAAAAAAAUUGCUGGGGCUGUGUGUGUGAAUGGGGGUGUGCAUGUAUGUCUUCGGACGAACGUCCCCUGUUCGCUGGAGGGCGGUUUCUUGCACGUCGUCCUUUUUGGUGAGCCUCUUUCUCGGUCUCUGCCUGGGUCGUGUAGCCGGUCGUGUGACCGGAACCGGCAGUCAUUUUCCUGGCGGCUGCACUUUUAGUUUCUGAAGGCCUUGGCGAGGUUUGGUGCUGUGUCAGACCCGCAGGCGUUCAAGUCACCUGCCCAUUCUGAGUGGCAGAAAUCCUAAAAAUCCUCCACCCAGGAGCAGAGGACCCGGAUGUCUCUCAAGAAUUAGAAAGGAAGUGCAGAUUAUUGCAAAGCACAUGGUAGCUAACACUGGAUAAAUGAGAUGAACAUUGGUUUGCUAAUUACCCAUAUUUACGCCCCAGGGAAGGAGGGCCCAGCACACCAUAUGGGAUACCGUGUUGCACUUAGGAACAGAGUAAUCAGGUGGAGGCUAUACCAGGAGGCUUUGUAGUAGCAAGAGUAUGGGAGGUAACCCCUGGUUCUUGAAGGAGGGUGUGAUUGGCCUGUUUGAAUAAUUCUGCAGGCUGGCUGGAACCUGACGCCCGCUACUAUGCAGUAAGCAGGUAAUGUGCCGGUCCUCUGAGGGAAGUGAUUCGGCUAGGGCACCUUAUUCAAAGGAGUACAACAGGGCAAGGAAUUUGCAGUUAAUCCAUUCAGGCCUCCUUGUUUUCCCCCCAAUGUCAGGGCACAUAUAAUAUUGAGCCUUAAUCUUAGGUCUUAUACCACACUUGACCCCUUGAUGUCUUGACAUCUCUUGGCGAUACUGAUACUUCUAGAGUGUAGAACUGUUACUGGAUGGAAGGUCUUGACUGUAAGUUGUCCACGUUUCUGGCUUGUUGAAGAAAGCAUUAAACAAACUACACGAAGCAACAAAAGAACGAAGCCACGAAAGAAGAAAGAAGCAACGAAACCGCAGAUUUAUUUAAGCGAAAGUCCACUCUACAGAGCCAGAGCCGGCUAGAGCAAGCGGCCGAAGAGCCCAGAUUACAAUGUUCUUUAGAGUUUUUAUUAAGCCAAAGAAUUUGAUAACACCAAUAAGUGCCCUUUCGAGGCCUCCAAUUGGUUACACACUGUGAAGGAUUGGCCCAUGGCUGAACUCAGAGGCUGAACUGGAGACUUCUGUGUUGUUAUCACAGGAGUGAGGAUGUGGCCUGUGUGCUGCUUAACCUGGCCUAGAACUUGCUGCACCUGCUGUUCUUUUGCUUCCACCUUAACCCUUAGUUUAUGCUAAUUUUCUAUUCUCCUGCCUCAGAAGUGCCUCCUUAGGAGGCCAAGCAGGCUCUUACCUGCUUCAGGUGAGCAGGUAACCAGGAGGGAGCGGACCACAGUUGCUAUCAUGUCUAUGAUUAGUGUUUGGAAACCUGUGCAGAGCCUUUGGCUCCACUUGGAUGGGAUAGCCAAGAGAACAGAUAUGUGGUUUUUGGAUCAUGAUAUGUCUGAAUAUUUGUGUAACCUUAUGUAUUACCAUCAGUUUUUAUUUGUUAGGCAUGGUUAUUCUUGCUCGUAUUAUUAUUAUUAUUAUUAUUAUUAUUAUUAUUAUUAUUAUUUUGAUAGAGUCUCACUCUGUUGCCAGGCUGGAGUGCAAUGCUGCCAUAUUGGCUCACUGCAACCUCUGCCUCUCAGAUUCAAGCGAUUCUCCUGCCUCAGCCUCCCAAGUAGCUGGGAAUACAGGCACGUGCCACCACACCCAGCUAAUUUUUGUAUUUUUAGUAGAGACGGGGUUUCACGGUGUUGGCCAGGAUGAUCUCAGUCUCUUGACCUUGUGAUCCACCCAACUUGGCCUUCCAAAGUGCUGAGAUUACAGGCAUAAGCCAUCAUGCCCAGCCAAAAAUUUUUUUAAUAAAAUAAAAUAUGUGAGUAUUGGCCAGGUGCAGUGGCUUAUGUCUGUAAUCCCAGCAUUUUGGGAGGCUGAGAUAGGAGGAUCACUUGAGGCCAGGAGUUCAAGACCAGCCUGGACAACACAGCAAGACCCCACCUCUAAAGAAAAAAAGUGUGUGUGUGUGUGUGUGUGUGUGUGUGUGUAAUAUGACAUAAACAAGUGUGGGUAUAUCAAUCAUUGUUCACCAGUUACUGAUGCUGUAUAACACACCACUCCAAACUUAGUAGUAUAAGACAACCAUUUUACUGUGCUCACUGAUUCUGUGGGUUAGGCAUUUAGAGAGCUCACAGAAGAGAUGGUGUGCCUCUGCUCCUGAUGUCUCUGGCCUCAACCAGGAGGAUUCAAAAGCUGGGAAUAACCUGAUGCCUGAGGGCUGCAAACCUAUGAAGCCUGCUUUGCACACAUGUCUGGCACAUGCAGUGGGAGGACUCAAAGACUCAGACUAGUAGCCUCCCCACAUGACUUGGCUUCCUCAUAGCAUGGCAGCUCACAGCACUUGGAACUUCUUACAUGAUAGCUCGAGACUUCAAACACAGGAGUUUCAGCUAAUGAGGUGAAGGCCACAGUGCCUCUUAUGACUCAGCCUUGGGAGUCACACAGCAUUGGUUACAAACAAUAAACAAAUCCAGAUUCACGGGCAGAGGAGUUAGACUCCACCCUUAAAGUGGGAAUUGCAAGAUUCUAGAACAACAUAUGAGACAAGCCUAUUGUUGCAACCAUCUUUGGAGAAUACAAUCUGCAGCAAUCACCUUUGGAGACUAGGAAACCAAUGCAGUAUUCUGAAACUCGUAAUUCUGAAAACUAAUGAAUAUGAAUGGAAAGAAUCAAGCAUUUAUCCUCCCUUUCCUACACAUGCUAUCCCUCUAAGUAAUCAGAUAGUUGAUGUGUGGGGAUUUUAUUUUUAUAAAAGGAUUCCUGUAAUGGAAAUUUCAGUAAUGGAAAUAAAAGGAUUCCAGUAAUGGCUGAAAGAGAGACACAAUAAGAAAGUGAUCAUUUUGCAGCUCCUAACAACAACGAAUCUAGGCAAUGAUCAUGAAUGAAUGCAUGACAUUAUGCAAAAGGCAAUCACUUUACAAUGGAUAAAUCACAUUGAUGACACUUAAGCCCACUACCAAAUCUAAUCACAAAAACAGUGACAAGCAGACCUUGCCAAAAUAAUUGAACUUGAAUUUGACCAAGCUUCUAGAGCAGAAUUUCUCAACUCUGACACUAUUUACACUUUGGACCAGAUGAUUCUUUGGGAUUGGAGAAGGCUGUCCUGUAAGGUGUAUGGGAUGUUUAGCAGCAUCCUGGCCUCUAGCCAAUAGGUGGCAGCAAUACCAUCCUUCCUUGCAGUUGUGACGACCAAAAAUAUCUCCAAACAUUGCCGAAUGUCUUCUAGAGGUAAAAAUAAAAACAAACAAACAAAAAACAAAACCACAACUGGUUGAGAACCACUGCUCUAGUUAAUGACCAGAUAUUUUAGAGAAAAUAUACAGCAUCUAAUUUGUUAAUCAGUACCAUGGGGGUGUACUCAAAGGCAGUAUGUGGGAACUCUAUAUGAUCUAGUGUUUGAUUUCUCCAAAAUAUAAAUAGCAAGAAAAAAGGGAAGUCAAUAGAUUAAAAGACAUAUAAGAGCCGGCUGGGCGCAGUGGCUCAAGCUUUUAAUGCCAGCACUUUGGAGGCCGCGGCGGGCAGAUCAUCUGAGGUCAGGAAAAGUUCUUAAAAGAACUAUAAGAAAAAGAGUUUUAAGAAAAGUUCUUAAAAGAACUAUAUUUCAUACUGAAAUAUUUAUAGAUGAAAUGUCUAGAAUUUUCUCUAAAAUAAUUGAGUGUAAAUGGAGAUGAAGCAAAACUGGCCAUGUGUUACUUGUUAAGGCUGGGUUCACUGUACUAGGCUCUCUGCACAUAUAAUGCUGGAAGUAUCCAUAAUAAAGAGCUUGAAUUUAAAAAAAAAUUACCUCCUUCCAAGUACUACUCAAAUCAGCAAGCACUAAUUUGGAAGGACAUCCAUAAGGUCUUCCCUAGAAACACAAGCUAAAAAAAAAUUACAUAUAAUUCUAGUAAAGGCAAAAGGGAACAAAAGUCACUCAGUAUAUGUGUGUGUGCAUGUCUGAGCAAGGAGAGAGGUAAAGGAAACUUACCAGACUUUUAAAAUGGAUAACCUUGGGGAGUUGAGAAUAUAAAAUAACAAGAAAUAUACAUAUAUUUGUCUCUGCCCCUAGCUCCUGGUCUAGAGCUCCUUAAAACCCUUGGGUACUAGGAGGAUCAUCUGUUCUAAUAUCUGGUCUUUGACCCUAGUUCCUGACAGAGUUCUCAAAUCCCUUGGGAUUUCCUGGCUGAUAGGAACAUCUUAUGUUCUAAUGAGGGGACUUCUUGGUGGGCUCCUGGAUGGCCAAGGGAUGUGAUAUGAGGGUUGGAAUUUUCAGCCCCACCCCUUGACCUCCGGGGAGGGGACAGCAGCUUAAGGUUGAGUUGACUGACAAUGGCCAAUGAUGUCAUCAAUCAUGCCUAUGUAAUGAAGCCUCCAUGAAAAUCCAAAAGGACUGGGUUCAGAGAGCUUCCAGAUUGCUGAACACGUGGGGGUUCCUGGAGGAUGAUGUGCUGGGGAGAGAGCAUUGAAGCCCAAUGCCACUUCCCACAUAUUUUGCCCUAGGUAUUUCUUCAUCGAAAACCUUUGUAAUAUCCUUUUUAUUGCAAAAAAAGGAUGCAAUAUCCUUUUUAUUACUCUGUUACACCGGGUCCUCUUUUGGACUCCUCUGGCUGGAAGGAAAGCGUUUCUCUCAUAAUUUUUGCUCCCUGAACCUAUCACACAGCUCUGAGACUUCCUUCCUUCCAAAGCCAGAAGAUAAAGGGGGAAAAUACCCCAGCAAACCUGUGGUCAUCACGUCCAUUCUUCACGUUUUUAACUCCCUUCACAUCUGCCUGCUAUUAUUUGUAUUUCUGAGUCUUCAGGUGGUUUCUUUUUGUAUUCACUCUGGGGUGUUAAGUAGAAAUCGGUGAGAGAGAUGCUGAAAUGUGCUUAUCUCAUCUUGGCCAGUAAUAGAAGUCUGCCUUGUAUAUGUUAUUGUAUGUAUG